CCUACGGGAGGCUGCAGUGAGGAAUAUUGGUCAAUGGGCGAGAGCCUGAACCAGCCAAGUCGCGUGAAGGAUGACGGUUCUACGGGUCGUAAACUUCUUUUGUCAGGGAGUAAUUUGGUCCACGUGUGGGCUUAGCGAGAGUACCUGAAGAAAAAGCAUCGGCCAACCCCGUGCCAGCAGCCGCGGUAAAACGGAGGAUGGGAGCGUUAUCCGGAUUUUUUUGGUUUAAGGGUUGCGUAGGCGGAAUAUCAAGUCAGCGGUAAAAAUUCGGGGCUCAACCCCGUCGUGCCGUUGAAACUGAUGUUCUUGAGUGGGCGAGAAGUAUGCGGAAUGCGUGGUGUAGCGGUGAAAUGCAUAGAUAUCACGCAGAACUCCGAUUGCGAAGGCAGCAUACCGGCGCCCAACUGACGCUGAAGCACGAAAGCGUGGGUAUCGAACAGGAUUAGAUACCCGGGUAGUC
rnacentral:rRNA from 1 species